GGAAGAAGGGGUAGGAGGGGACGGUGCUGCGGACGGUGUAACUUAUCCUCGAUCGAAGUCCUGAGGAAACAACAGCAUAUGAUACCCUCUCCACUCAUUUAAUGAAGCGAGUAUGAUCUCUGGACCAAAACCUAACAGGACCUGUUCUGACAGAAAAUGAAAUUCUAGACUAAUCAAAUUGGCUUACUGGAACCUGUUGAAGAAGUCCAGAACACUAGCAUCAUAUGUCAACUAUGAACAAAUAUUGAUGAAUGCCUCAAUUAACAGA